rnacentral:lncRNA from 1 species
CAAGCAUCUCAGCUGCCUGAGAGGGAAAUUGAGGCCUAAACAGCCAAAGUGGCAAGCCUUCUGAUCAUGGUGCCCAGUGCAGCGAUCUCUGUCACCAAACUGACAGCCUCUUUGGUUAAUAUUACAGUUUAGGAGAAGAAGUUCGACAGCUUUUCUCAGGUUGAAAAGAAAACAAAACAGAACGAUUUAGUUUGUCCAGCUGCUGUGCUGAGUUACCUUAAAGGCUCAGGUGGUGACAGCAGCGUGUUCAAUGACCUGGAUUUAUUUAUUGCCUAUUUUUAUUGUUACAACCUGGCCAUUCAGUGUCUGGCUCUCAGGGUGACCUGUGGACAUAAUAAGAAUCCAUCCCAAAGGAAAUAUUCUCAGUCAACCAGCCUGGUUACUCUACAUGGAAAUCAGUUGAGAAGAACUAAAACUCUAUCUUUGCUUUUCAGACCGCACUGGGGUCGUGUCUACUUUGGUAUUUUCCUGUGUGGAAGCCUCAGCGGAGUUCUGUUCCUUCAGGAUUCUACCUCCAUGCCAUGUUGACUCUGAAGGGAAGUUGAAAGCAGUCUGUCAAUCCAAUGCCAUCUUCUCCGCACAAAAGCCCUGGUUAGAAAUGCCAUCAAGAGAGCAGCCUCUGAGGGUUCUUUGUCAAACUCAAGAAGUGACUGAUGACUGAUGCACAACACAUGGAAAGAGAAACGUCGACCCGAUGGGUUGCUCCAGAUUAAUGACCUAGAGGUGGCAAGGGACGUUUACACGGCCUCUGAUGCGCCCUUUGCUGUUGCCAUGCAACAAUAUGUCACAGGCUGAUUCACUCAUCUCACUGAAUAAUGAAGUGUCUCUGCAGUAAAGAAAAAC